rnacentral:rRNA from 1 species
AUUGAACGCUGGCGGCAGGCCUAACACAUGCAAGUCGAGCGAGCGGCGGACGGGGGAGUAAUGCCUGGAAAUUGUCCAGUCGAGGGGGAUAGCGGUUAGAACCUAGUGAUAAUACCUAAUACGGUUGUAUUUCACAGGGGGGGUUGGCGAGUGGGUGAGGUAAUGGCUCACCAAGGCGACGAUCCCUAGCUGGUCUGAGGGGAGGAUCAGCCACACUGGAACGGAGACACGGUCCAGACUCCUACGGGAGGCAGCAGUGGGGAAUAUUGCACAAUGGGGGAAAGCCUGAUGCAGCCAUGCCGCGUGUGUGAAGAAGGCCUUCGGGUUGUAAAGCACUGUCAGCGAGGAGGCGUUACUCGCAGAAGAAGCAACGGCUAACUCCGUGCCAGCAGCCGCGGUAAUUC